ensembl:lncRNA
CCUGUUAUUAUUGCGUUAUUAUCAUGUUCUGUUUUAUUAAUACGUUAUUAGCAUCGUCUGGUGUUAUUACUGCCUUAUUAUUGUGUUAUUAGCAUGUUCUUGUUAGGGUUUAAAAUGAGUAGCCACGUUGAACAUCAUAGCCAAAGUGAGUUACAGAGAUUUUUUGUUUGUUUUAACAGGGUAUGGUUGGGGUGCAGCUGGCCUAUGAGUCACUGAUUUGAUUCCUGAGAAGUUCUUCUAAUCAGGAAUCGAUUGUGACAGAGCUCUUUGGGGCCCAGGUAAGCUUGCAGAUGCCAAUGUAAAAUGACAGAUUUUUUCAUUAUAAAAGAUUUUGAUUAUAUAGAAAACAAGACUACAAUAAGUAUAGCAGAUUUCUUUUUGCAACUUUUCUCUUCUGUGCAGCUUCACCACUUCAACUUCUUGGACAUGUUUUAUGAGCUGCCUCUCUUCGGAUACUUUUGACGAAUGACUCAGCUCCUGAGGCAUUUGAGGGAGGAUUCUUGGAGAGCCUGUUUGCCAUUAUCAGCAUGUGGGACAUGGACGUGUGGGAGCCUGCAGCAGAGCAGUACUUCACAGCGCUUAUUGAUCAGCUGACAGUGCUUUGUGAAGUACUGUUUUCUCAGCCCCUGGAGCUCUACAGCGACCCAGUAGCCUUAGCCAGUGCAGUUUCGCGGCUCCUCUGGCAGCAUGUCACGCUGAUGAUGGACACGUUGGAGAAACUCUGAGCAGUGUCCUUCUCUCUAAUCCCUACCCCCUUUACACACUCACCAUCCACUUUAUUAGGAACACUUGCUAAUUUUGCAAUUAUCCAAACAUCCAAUCAUG